CCUGCCUCAAGCUGAUGAUCUUGAACUUGCCCUGAAGGAGGUAUCCAUUUUGCCAGUACAGGAGCCACAGAUCAUGCCCUCAGCCCAACUCAACUCACCAAUGCACCAGGAAGGGAAGGCAUAGGAAGGAGUCGACAGCCAUCCAGCAGCUGCAUGCACAUAGAGAUCUUCACCAUAGCCACAACCUUUGGUCCUGUUGGCUUCCUAUCCUUGUGCCACCACCAGCUCAAAGUGAACUCAAAGCAUCUUCAAGUGCAUGUCAGAGAAGGAGAGAAAUCUUACAGGUUGUGUUUUAUGAUCUAUGGUUGAUUUAUAUGUGCAAAAACCAAAAGGCAAUGCAGCAUAGCUCUCACAGCAUUUUUCUUGUGGUAACACUCCACGAUGUAGAGUGAGCUGAAGGAACUCUACGCAAACUGAAGAACAAAAAGUGACCACUACAGAAACAGAAACAAAAGCAAAAAUAUUAUGCAUGCCCUGCUGCUUCCAUUACCUCAGGUUUCCAGGAAUGAGAACAGCUGGAGAAACUGAAUGUUAUGCUUCAUUGAUGGGGGAAAUUCUCUGUACUGCAAUAUUAGUACUCACUGCCUGUUGUGGUCACCAAGCACUGUCAUCAACAAGGUUUCAAGGGGAUGGUAAGGAAGUGGGAUGUACUGAAGCUCUCAUGCUUGAGCAAUACAAGUCCAGAAGGGUAAUGCGGGGAGUAUGUUUAUCAUGUAAACAGUGAACUGUCUGUAAAAGGGGAAGUUUUAUGCAGUGAUGGGGAUGUGGGAAAUGAGAAACCACGAAUUAAUGAGAAACCCUACCGAGGUUAAAGUAAUUUACUGAUUAAUCUUGAUUCCACUUCUUUUGGUCAGAGUGGAAGGAGAGACUCUUAGGCAAAUAAAAAAGACAUAGCAUUGCGUGAUAAAUCUUUU
rnacentral:lncRNA from 1 species